UUCUGGUUUACACUCUCACCUUCUCCGUGUGGAUUAUGUUCCUGACUCCUCUAUGUGGAUUGUACCCUGAAUGACCGACCAACUAUGAAUCCAGCAGCACAAAUUAUAUGUCUCCAUCAAGGAGAUCGGCCUAUCGAGGACUACGUGAUGGACUUUGUUGAUCUAGCACAUUUGACUGGCAUGGACAAGUUCCUCCGAGGUCUCAGCCCUGGUUUCCUCAUCCAUCUGCUCCGCUCUGGUGGUCUUCUGCUUCGC